rnacentral:sRNA from 1 species
UAUUUGGCUUUGUAUCUUCUAAUAAGGAAACACUACUUAGGCUUUUAAGAUCAGGUUGCGGUUCUAAUUCUUAUACAUAUUCAUACACAUGACAUUAAGUCAUAUAUGACUCCCAAAAACUAAACAAGCUUCUUCUUCCUUCUCAAAGGUUUGAUGGUGUAGCCGAAGUUCAUAUGAGUCUUUGGCUUUGUAUCUUCUAACAAGAAAACACUACUUAGGCUUUUAAGAUCCGGUUGCGGUUCUAAUUCUCAUAUUCAAUCAUACACAUGAAAUCAAGUUAUAUUUGACUCCAAAAAA